UUAGCGUUAUGAGUGCAGUGUGACGUGGAAAGCUAAGUCAGCACGCGAUCGGAUGUGCGUGUCUAAGCUUGUAGUCCGCAAGGAUGAGAGGCGAAUGGGAGUCAAAGCUACGGCAAUGACGAACUGACCCAGGCUAUGCCACCAAGAAAAACCACUGUAACCAGCUAAGUGGGUGACCGUACCUAAUCCGACACAGGUAGACAAGCAGAAUAUGCUAAGGCGCUCGAAAUAACUCUCGUUAAGGAACUCGGCAAAUUGGCCCCGUAACUUCGGAAUAAGGGGUGCCGUCAUAGUGUGAAGUUCUCGCGAAUGGAGCAUGAAACGGCAACAUUAAAGAGCCACCUACGACUGUUUAGCAAAAACACAUCUCUCUGCAAACUCGUAAGAGGACGUAUAGGGAGUGACACCUGCCCGGUGCUGGAAGGUCAAUGACUUCGGUGAUCUCGCAAGAGUGAGCUGCGGUCCUAAGCCCCAGUAAACGGCGGCCGUAACUAUAACGGUCCUAAGGUAGCGAAAUUCCUUGUCAGGUAAGUUCUGACCCGCACGAAUGGUGUAACGAUAGGUGGACUGUCUCAACGAGAGGUUCGGUGAAAUUGCAGUGGCGGUGAAGAUACCGUUUUCCCGCAGCGGGACGAAAAGACCCCGGAACCUUUACUGUAGGCUGGUAUUGUGUUUUGACCCAAUAUGUGUAGGAUAGGUGGGAGACUUUGAAGUGGGGGCGUUAGCUCUCAUGGAGUCAUCCGUGAAAUACCACCCUUGUUGUGUUAGAACUCUAACCUGACUGCCUGAAUCGACAGCAGGGACCGUGCCAGUUGGGCAGUUUGACUGGGGCGGUUUCCUCCUAAAGAGUAACGGAGGAGUUCAAAGGUUACCUCAGCGCGGUCGGCAAUCGCGCGACGAGUGUAAAGGCAUAAGGUAGCUUAACUGUGAGACUUACUAGUCGAACAGAUACGAAAGUAGGACUUAGUGAUCCGGCGAUACCGUGUGGAAGGGUCGUCGCUCAACGGAUAAAAGGUACUCUGGGGAUAACAGGCUUAUCUCGCCCAAGAGUUCAUAUCGACGGCGAGGUUUGGCACCUCGAUGUCGGCUCAUCGCAUCCUGGGGCUGGAGAAGGUCCCAAGGGUCCGGCUGUUCGCCGGUUAAAGCGGUACGUGAGCUGGGUUCAGAACGUCGCAAGACAGUUCGGUCUCUAUCUGCUGUGGGCGCAGGAAAUUUGACGGGAUCAAUCCCUAGUACGAGAGGACCGGGAUUGUCGAACCUCUGGUGUUCCAGUUGUUCUGCCAAGAGCAUUAGCUGGGUAGCUAAGUUCGGAAAGGAUAAGCGCUGAAAGCAUCUAAGCGCCAAGCCCCCCUGAAGACUAGAUUUCCCAAUUAGACUCCUUAUAGACUAUGAGGUUGAUAGGUUCCAUGUGCAAGACCUGUAAAGGUUUUAGCUUAGGAAUACUAAUAAGUCGAUUGGCUUGACC
rnacentral:rRNA from 1 species